GCUGUGGGGUUUUCCCGCACAGUGCUGCACUAGCAGGGAUGGUGGCCACUGCCCGGGCAGCGUUUAGAGGGGUUGCCAAGACUGUUCAGGUUUUUCGGCUUUGAAGGAGGAGAGGAAAAGGAGCGUGGGAGCUGAGGGUGGCCACAACACGAGCCAGGUCGAGACCUCACCGACAGGGCAGUAACAGGUCCAGUGACCAUCCAGCAAAGACAUGGACACAAUGUCAGCCCAGGAAACCCAAGCAGCAGUUCAGGAAUAGUAUUGGCAGCAAAGACACCCACAAGUCACCUCUAUCAUCCCAGCAUGAGAAGGACAUGGUUCGCAGCUGGAUUGACACAACAGCUCAGGCUGACUGGAGACAGGGAGAUGUUGGAUCACCUCCUCCUCGGGGCUGACUGGCAGAAGACAGACACCAGACAGACACACAGACACUGGCAGAAGCACAUGGAGGAACUCUUCUGACUGAAUAUCUCACGUGUGGAGUGGAAGAGAAGGCUGUGGCUUAGCCGGAAUGAAUGUCCACCAUCUGCCAACUCUCAUGGAUUUUUCUGAAUUUUGCCACAUUUUGUGGUGUACCUUGAAGCCCCUGGUUUUGGAAUUAUGGAAUCAUAGUUUUUAAGGCCUUAUGUUUCUGAAGAAAAGACAGAAAACCACUCAGUGAGUCUUAAGGCCCUGAAGACAAAACCAAUAUUUGUUAGAGAUCUAUAACUAUGUAUCUGUUUGUUACUCCUCUUCUGCUUCGUAUUUAAACAAUGUAAUGAUUCAUGCAGACCUGAGCUUCAGGAAGCUGAGUAUUUACUCAUUUGUGAAAGUAAAGUGCUGCUGGCCUUUGCUCUCCCAUGAAGCAGGAGGGCAUCUCUACACUGGGACACAGCACACGCUGAGUUUCAAUCCCUGUUACAGGGACUGUGGCUGGGCUGAUUUCUACCAGCCCUGGAGCUGGAUCCUUACUGAUGCUCAAGGACUCUGC